rnacentral:rRNA from 1 species
UACGUAGGUGGCAAGCGUUGUCCGGAUUUACUGGGCGUAAAGGGCGUGCAGGCGGUCUGUUAAGUCUAGGGUGAAAGCUCCCGGCUCAACUGGGAGAGGUCCUUGGAUACUGGCGGACUUGAGGGAGGCAGAGGAAAGUGGAAUUCCCGGUGUAGUGGUGAUAUGCGUAGAUAUCGGGAGGAACACCAGUGGCGAAGGCGGCUUUCUGGGCCUUACCUGACGCUGAGACGCGAAAGCUAGGGGAGCAAACGGG